ensembl:lncRNA
UAUGUGAUAACAGCGGGAACUAAACACAAGGAGUCAGGUAUGAUGUUCACACAAUUAUAUUUACUAUACAUAAUUUUAAUAUUGCUGAUAUUUUACUAUUUAAUAUUUUAAGAUAAGCCAGGACAUAAUUUGUGAACGAACACAUCAAAUUUAUUAUGACAGGACUUCCCAUUGUGGCUCAGUAGUAACUAACCCCACUAGUAACCAUGAGGAUGAGGGAUCGAUCCCUAGGCUUGCUCAGUGGGCUAAAGAUCCGGUGCUGUCAUGAGCUCUGGUAUGGUUCACAGAUGUGGCUUGGAUCCAGUGUUGCUGCCACUGUUACAUAAGUGGCAGCUGUAGCUCUGAUUUACCCCUAGCCAGGGAACUUAACUAUGCCGCAAGUUCAGCCCCAAAAGGAAAGAAAUUAAAAUAAAUAAAUAAAUAAAUAUUAUAACAGCUUUCUUAAACAAUCAGCCUCUAUUUUAUAAGAAAGACUACCAAAUAGUAUUAUAAAAAAUUUAUUAGGCACAUUUUUGAAUUAAAAAAAAACUUUUCAUGUAUUUUGUGUAUACUCUGAAUUGUGAACAGUUUUGAAAAACUACACCUCCUACAUAUGUUUGAACUAUUUUAGGUUAUAUUUCCUUUUUUUUUCUUUUUAUGGUCACAUGUUCGGCAUAUGUAAUUCCUGGGCUAAGGGUUGAAUUAGAGCUGCAGCUGAGUCCUAUGCCACAGUGGCAACACUCGACUGAACCACAUCUGUGACCUGCACCACAGCUUGUGGCAAUACCAGAUUCUUAGCCCACUGAGCAAGGUCAGGGAUUGAACUAGCAUCCUCACGGAGACGUAUGUUGGGGUCCUUAACCCCACAAUAAGAACUCCAUAUUUUCUUCAUAUCAAAUAAAUAACUGGUUAAAUCAUAAACAUUUCCAUAUGAGUACAUAUAUGUUUGAAGAGAGAUUAUUUUACUAAUUGCAUAAACAUAUUAAUAUGAAAAGCAUAAAUUUUCAAAAUGUGUGUGCAUGUGUGUGAGUUUGUAAUAUGACAUUUUAUUUAUCCCUUGAGAAGUUUCUAGGAGAAACUUAAAUAUAUAUUAAUUUAUAAGAACUAAUCUCUAAUAUUUGCAAAGUUGUUCUGUGUCAUAGCCAAUAUAUUACACAUUUCCCUCAAAUUUCACUAGAUGGUGCUAUGUAUUAAAUGUAAUAAAUUUUAUGUUUGAUAAUGGAUAGUGCAUUUUAAUGGACUAUCUCUUUUAUUAUCAUUUUAUAUUUAUGACUAUAAAACAGGAAACUGGCAUUGGAUGACUCUUGUUUUUAACAGCAUUUAUGGACCUCAUUUAUGAAGAGACAUAAUUGGCACAAGUGAUGUUAAGGCAAAAUGGAAAAGUGCAAAAGCCUUCCCCCUAACAUGACUGCUGAAGCUAUUUAGUAAUGUGUGAGAGCUUAUCUGAUUUGUCAUGGUUCACACUCACCUUCUGUGUUAUCAAAUCUCUACUUUGAUAGCUAAUUGAGUUAUAAUUUAUGAAUUCCAUAUAAAUCUGCUUUUCUAGGAUGUGCACUAACUAUUGAUAUACACUAAUUGACCAUUCACAAUGGCUUUAUGAACCAUAAAAAACACAGCCACUUAAUCUGAAAUUACAUAUCACAGCUGUUAUCAGGCAGUGUUUAUUGGGAUCUCUGUCAAAGAAGGUCAAAUGAAAUGCUUUGAAAAUGAUAGACGCAUAAUCAUUACCUUUUAAAAAUGAUUAAGCCUAUUUUAGGCCUAUGUCAGUAAACCAUUCUUUUCUGAUAAAUCCAAAUUAGAAAAGUUUUAGGAUUCUUGGUAAUGUAUCAUUACAUAGCAACAAGUUUAAAUAUUUUACUCAGUAUUUAAACACUGUUAAUAACUGAGUUGCUAUAUCUUCUAAAAAAUCAAGGCAGGUAUUGACCUAUAAUGGCUCUGGAAAAAAAGGAGACCAUUUGAAUCAAAGAUGAUCUUGUAUUUUAAAAAUUUCUUUUAGGAUUUAGCUGUAAAAGUUAUUUUUUAAAUAAUGUGUAAAGGAAAGUGGCUUUGUCCUUCAUUAUAGUAUUUUAUUAUGAUUCACUGACCAUAAACCUUUCUCACUUUCCCAAGAAGGCCUGGUCUUCCUGGACCUGCCAACCAUCCUGAACUAACCUGCAAGCAGAUUUCUGUGUUCACAUUGUUUCCAUUGCACAUAGGACAAGUUUUGGAUAAUUGUAGAAUUAUGUCAAUGUCAUAUAUGCUUCUCCUCAUUUGUACCAGUUCUUCCUGCCUAGGAGACUUUUCCCUCAGAUGAUCCCAUAACUUUGCUGUUUAUUUGCCCUUUAUCAUCUGUCCUGUCCUGCUGGGAUUUAAGCUCCAAGAAAGAAGGAUCCUUAUACAUCUUUUCCAAGGACAUGUUUCCUGAACCUAGAAUAUAUGAAGAACCAAAUAGUCAUUUGGGGUGGGAAGAAUCAAUACAUUAGCUAAAACCAAGGGAACUUGGCUCAUAAUGUAAUUUUUAAUUAGAGCAAGUGAAUUCAAAUGCAAAAUAUUGUUGAAAGGUGCAUUUUUUUUUUCUGUAUGUAGUGUUUUUCCCAUGCAGGUUUUUGAAAAUAAUCUUUUUUACUACAUUGGAACCAGGAUAUUUCAGUAUCGUCCUUUUUUUUUUUCCUGGUCUCUAGAAUCUUGGUAGUAUCAUCCUUUCAUACUCAGAUGGGUUUCAAUAUCAACUUUAAUAUCCUUUUUUCUAGGUGUGUGUGUGUGAGGGGGUGUGAGUGAGAGAGAAGGAGAGAGAGAGAGAAGAGGAAAAUAAAAAAAGUAAGUUAUUUUUAUAUGAAAUAUCAUAAUCAUUUUUUUGGUUUUUUGAGUCUAUUUUAUUCUUUAACUUUUUAUUCCUUAAAAGUACCCCUAACUUUUAAUGCAUGUUUAGUUUAAACUCUGAUACCUACAUUAAUUUGAAUUAUUUUAGCACCAGUACCACUAUUAAUGGUAGAGUAAAACAUGGCUUUUAAAAAGUAGAAACAGAUAAAGGAUUAUGAGAAUGCCAGUAUCUGAAUAGAUGAUGUCAUAUUUAUUGCUCUACUGAUUCAAAUGUGAUUAUAAUUAUGAAUGUAAAUGAAGUCUAAUUCAACUCUAACCUGAUUAGAUAUGCAGAAACUUUCAAAAGUUAAUCAAUCAAGUGAAGUGUGGAACAACUGCCUGUGUAGGUGGUCACCCUUAGUAGCCUUUGGAUAUAAAGUGUGAUUGCACUUCUUUUAUUUUUUACUAAACUCAAAUUGUUAAUGCAUGAGCUCUUAUCACUCCACUUAUCAGUAAGUAGUUAGUUCCACUUGGAGUGUCUGCUAUAUGUUAUUAUGCAAAUGACAUUGGUAAAGAUGACCUCUGAUUGGACUGUUUAUCAUACAGUGGUGACCUUACCAAAUGAUAUACUCGGUCAUUGGAAAGUUGUUCAUUCCUCUUUAUGCUUGCUGGUGAGAACAGGUUUUGAAAUCACCCUUUAGAACUGUCAAGUAUUUAUAAUUUCUACCUUAAGCAUUCACUUCUGAAAUUCAUGCUGGCCCUAUUGAUGGUAAUGAGAAUUGUGCUGAUAUUUCUGUUGCUAACAUAAGGAAGUGAUUUGGCACUGCUUUUUCUUUAAGGUCUACCUCUACUUUGCCAUGAAAAUUUAUAGCAUUUCUGCUAGCAUCCUUUUUGAAAUAAUCAUUCAACCAUCCCUACUUAUAAGAUUCUGGUUUCCAAAGAAAGAAAGCAAUUCCCUUUUGACAACAAUAUAUUCAGAUUGUCCUUUUGGAUGUUUGAAAGCAGGCAUAUCCAUACAUGUUUAUUUAUUUAUUUAUUUAUUUAUUUUUUAAGUUAGUGUGACUUUUUUUUCAUUUUUUUAUUACUCAAAUGAAUUUAUCACAUCUGUAGUUGUAUAAUGAUCAUAACAAUCUGAUUUCACAAGAUUUCCAUCCCAUAUACAUGUUUAUAUGUAUAUGGAUAUUCCUUAUCCAUUCCAUAUAUAUGUAUAGCUAGAUAUAAGGAUAUGUUGUUAUAUAAGGUAUUAAAGGGUAAUAAAAUAUAUAAAACUUACUGUAAUUCACCAUACUUAGAAAAUACAGAAGAGUAGUUAUUCGAUCACCUGACUAGAAAUGCCUUUGGGGAGUUCCCGUCGUGGCUCAAUGGUUAAUGAAUCCAACUAGGAACCAUCAGGUUGUGGGUUCCAUCCCUGGCCUUUCUCAGUGGGUUAACGAUCCAGCACUGCCAUGAGCUGUGGUGUAGGUUGCAGAUGGGGCUCAGAUCUGGCCUUGCUGUGGCUCUGGCGUAGGCUGGCGGCUGCAGCUCCGAUUGGACCCCUAGCCUGGGAACCUCCAUAUGCUGUGGGUGCGGCCCUAGAAAAAGACCAAUAAAUAAAUAAAUAAAUAAAAGCCUUUGUGCAGCAUCUGGUCACGCAUAAGAAACUCUUAGCCAAUAGGAACAGGAGAUAAGCCCUUUAUACCUGAUGACGCAAAUUUUCAAAAACCUUACAGAUAAAAUUACAUUAAACAGUGAAAGACUAAACAGUUUUCUGGAAAUUAAGAGCAAGGCAAAGGUGUUCACUCUCACCAGUUCCAUUGACCAUUAUUGUAAACGACCGUAGGCCGGCGGCUGCAGCUCUGAUUGGACCCUUAGCCUGGGAACCUCCAUUUGCUGUGAGAGUGGCAAAAAAAAAAAAAAUUAGAGAUUGGAAAGAAAAUGUUUUUCAUUAAAGACAACUUGUUUGUUUACAUUAAAAAAAUCCAAUGAGGGGGAGUUCCCCUCGUGGCGCAUGGUUACGAAUCCGACUAGGAACCAUGAAGUUGCAGGUUCGAUCCCUGCCCUUGCUCAGUGGGUUAACAAUCCGGCCUUGCCCUGAGCUGUGGUGUUGGUCGCAGACGCGGCUUGGAUCCCGCGUUGUUGUGGCUCUUGCGUAGGCCGGUGGCUACAGCUCCGAUUCGACCCCUAGCCUGGGAACCUCCAUAUGCCGCGGGAGCGGCCCAAGAAAUGGCAAAAAGACGAAAAAAAAAAAAAAAAA